GUCAUGAAAGGGCAGCUGCCACCUCAGGCCGUGGUGGCAGAGACAAAGGGUAUGGGCCGGUGUAGACGUCUAAGAAACCAACAGGAAGUCCCAGCCGGGAACACAGAAAGGAUAUGGAGAAAAUUAUUAUUCUGCCCAUACAGUCGUGGUGACCCAGAUGGGAUCUCUGGGACACCCUGCCUGCUCUACAAUUGGGAUCCCUGGAGAAGUGACAGAAUCUGGCAACAGAUGAGUAAGAAAGGUCACUUCCUGGCAGACCUCAGGUAUACUGGGGACAUCAAGAAAAGAAUAAUUCAUCAAAGUCUAUAGAUAUUGCAGGCAAAGUUGAAACAAGCCAGACAAGUUCUCUUUGUAUUCUUGAGAGACUUGGAAAGUCUAACCUGAGAUUCCUUAUUAAAAGUUCCAGCAAAACAGA
rnacentral:antisense_RNA from 1 species